GAUGAACGCUGGCGGCGUGCCUAAUACAUGCAAGUCGAGCGAACGGACGAGAAGCUUGCUUCUCUGAUGUUAGCGGCGGACGGGUGAGUAACACGUGGAUAACCUACCUAUAAGACUGGGAUAACUUCGGGAAACCGGAGCUAAUACCGGAUAAUAUUUUGAACCGCAUGGUUCAAAAGUGAAAGACGGUCUUGCUGUAACUUAUAGAUGGAUCCGCGCUGCAUUAGCUAGUUGGUAAGGUGACGGCUUACCAAGGCAACGAUGCAUAGCCGACCUGAGAGGGUGAUCGGCCACACUUGAACUGAGACACGGUCCAGACUCCUACGAGAGGCAGCAGUAGGGUAUCUUCCGCAAUGGGCGAAAGCCUGACGGAGCAACGCCGCGUGAGUGAUGAAGGUCUUCUGAUCGUAAAACUCUGUUAUUAGGGAAGAACAUAUGUGUAAGUAACUGUGCACAUCUUGACGGUACCUAAUCAGAAAGCCACGGCUAACUACGUG
rnacentral:rRNA from 1 species